UACGUAGGGUGCAAGCGUUGUCCGGAAUUAUUGGGCGUAAAGAGCUCGUAGGCGGUUCGUCGCGUCGGCUGUGAAAUCCCGAGGCUCAACCUCGGGUCUGCAGUCGAUACGGGCGGACUGGAGUUCGGCAGGGGAGACUGGAAUUCCUGGUGUAGCGGUGAAAUGCGCAGAUAUCAGGAGGAACACCAGUAGCGAAGGCGACACUCUGGGCCGGUACUGACGCUGAGGAGCGAAAGCGUGGGGAGCAAACAGG
rnacentral:rRNA from 1 species